UCAGUACUUGGUGAAUCCCAGCUGUUGCUUUUCACUGUAAUCGCCCAGAAAGAGGGUACCAAGAGGCUCUGGAAUGAACACAAAGCAUGGCUCAGCCCAUCUGCCCCAAAACCACGUGGCUGAAACAGAACGAGAUAAAGCAGGAAUCCCACCAUCAAAAGGGACUUGUUAGGGCAGAACAGCCGACAAGUCUGGCUGCUUCCAUCGUCUGUUCGUUAUUGCUUAUUGCUACAGAACCCUAAGAACUGAAACCAGGCAAUU
rnacentral:lncRNA from 1 species